AUAAAAUCAGAGAGUUUAUUUAUACCAAAAUCAGAUAAGGUUAUCAUGGCCCCUGUGCAAGGUUGCCAUGAAUAAAACGAGAAAUUGGUCUAAUUUUU